rnacentral:rRNA from 1 species
UUAUAUGAGAGUUUGAUCCUGGCUCAGGACGAACGCUGGCGGCAUGCCUAAUACAUGCAAUACAUGC